rnacentral:rRNA from 1 species
CUUUCGCGGCAACAGGACACCGCAUGAAAGUCAGUAUUCAAGCGGCCUGUCGCAUCGCGCUACCGCUUUACACUCGUGAAGUAUAUCACACUUUCCGCUCCAAAACAACCGGGGAACAGCCCGAAUUAUCAAUCAAAGUAAUUUUAUCUAUCACUUUUUUCGAUGGUUUUGUGCCGCAUCUGCAUUCCUUCGAUCUUUUUCAGCUCACCGUCCAGCCAGAGCAGAUUUUCUUCCAGCUGGGGGCGGUACUCUUUUGCAAAGUCGUACCGGUAAUACAGCGCCUGCCACAGCUUUUCCUGCAUCCGCCGGGCAAACACCGGCUCAAACACUUUUAAGUCAGCGGUGAAAGUCUGUGGCUCAACCAUAGAAUUGCCGUUGAAACUGGGGGGCUUGAGUAUGUUUGAGGCAGGCGGAAUGCGUGGUGUAGCGGUGAAAUGCAUAGAUAUCACGCAGAACUCCAAUUGCGAAGGCAGCUUACUAAACCAUAACUGACACUGAAGCACGAAAGCGUGGGGAUCAAACAGGAUUAGAUACCCUGGUAGUCCACGCAGUAAACGAUGAUCACUAGCUGUUUGCGAUACACUGUAAGCGGCACAGCGAAAGCGUUAAGUGAUCCACCUGGGGAGUACGCCGGCAACGGUGAAACUCAAAGGAAUUGACGGGGGCCCGCACAAGCGGAGGAACAUGUGGUUUAAUUCGAUGAUACGCGAGGAACCUUACCCGGGCUUAAAUUGCAGACGAAUUAUCUGGAAACAGGUAAGCCGCAAGGCGUCUGUGAAGGUGCUGCAUGGUUGUCGUCAGCUCGUGCCGUGAGGUGUCGGCUUAAGUGCCAUAACGAGCGCAACCCUUAUCACUAGUUACUAACAGGUCGAGCUGAGGACUCUGGUGAGACUGCCAGCGUAAGCUGUGAGGAAGGUGGGGAUGACGUCAAAUCAGCACGGCCCUUACAUCCGGGGCGACACACGUGUUACAAUGGCGUGGACAAAGGGAAGCCACCUGGCGACAGGGAGCGAAUCCCCAAACCACGUCUCAGUUCGGAUCGGAGUCUGCAACCCGACUCCGUGAAGCUGGAUUCGCUAGUAAUCGCGCAUCAGCCAUGGCGCGGUGAAUACGUUCCCGGGCCUUGUACACACCGCCCGUCAAGCCAUGGGAGCCGGGGGUACCUGAAGUCCGUAACCGCAAGGAUCGGCCUAGGGUAAAACUGGUGACUGGGGCUAAGUCGUAACAAGGUAGCCGUACCGGAAGGUGCGGCUG